GCCCCCAUAGCCCAAUUGGCAGAGGCAACGGACUUAAAAUCCGUCAAGUGUCGGUUCAAGUCCGACUGGGGGCA
rnacentral:tRNA from 2 species